rnacentral:lncRNA from 1 species
CAGUUUCACCAUAUGCUCAUUUGACCAGAUGGCACUAGUGCCCCUGUGCUGAAUUUGGUUGCCAUGAACUUAUGGCAACACAGGGUGAGUGAAGAACAGGUUGUUUCUCUUUUCUUGGAUUUUGAGAGGCAAGGAGGAUGUGUGUAGGACCACUAGGAAAAUUUCUGUUAUGAACUGUUGGGUUUUGGAUCACUGUUUCAGGAUGAGUACUGUGCAAAAUUAACUGACCACUAGGAGAGAUUAAGAGUUAAGACCCAAGAUGGGUCUGCAGGACAGCUUUUGCUGGGCUUUUUAGUGUCUGAAAACAGUGGCAACAUGACCUCAUGGGAAAGCUCUUGCACAUGGAUCUUUCUUCAGCGUGCUGUGUGGGAUAGCCAGUGCCUGGUGAGUGUUACGUUUGGAGGAAGAGCGUGUUUGUUCAGAGAGACCUCUAAUUAGACGGUACAGCAACCCUACAGCUGGAUAGCCCGCACUGCUUGCCUCUGACAAGAGCUUUCUGUUUGUGCCAGCAGUUGUUAUGACACCGGCAUAUCCCAGCAGUGGGAGGCACCAUCGAAUAGAUCCGCAAAUGCAUGCAAGAAUGCACGAGGCAAAGGAAAACAGAAAGAAAGAAAAAAAAAGUGCUGCUUCUGCUAUGUCUGCAUGCUUCCAGCUGCUCCCUGGGAAGCAUCGGUCGCGGGCCCCAGGGCACCGCAGCCCGCUAGGGGGAGGCAUCGGCUCGGGAAAGCCCCCGGAUCCCGCCCCGCACCGCCCCGCGCCCGGGGCAGCUCCAGCUGCACGUUCUCCUACUCCCAUAGGUUUGCAGCAUCUGCAAAAAGCCUCUUGGAAAUGGAGCCUAUCUGCAUCAAUUCAAAGAUUUUGUCAUCAAUGAUCUCUGCAUCUUCAUCUCAUGCCUCUCUGGCUCUUUCAGAGUUCAUGAACAGCACUGGAUAUUAAACCAAGAUCAAUCAAGAUUCAACCUUCAAGGCCUUCAACCAAGGCCUUGGGCACCCCCAGCUGUUUCAUUGUCACCUGCUGCUCUGCUUCUGAUUUCUUUUGCUGGUAGUUGUUUGGUCUCCUUUGGCAGCUCUGAUGCUUUAAUCAGUGACACAGCCUUCUUGCUCUGAAGCCUACAACUUCUCUAAUGGUGUUUUUUUGUUGGACACCUGGGCCUCAGCUUCCACUCUCCUCUCUAGUAAGUGAAGAAGAACUCCACUGCAUUUUGUUCUUCUGUAGUUUCUUUUUCUGCUGUAAAGAAAAAUAAAAAAUAUUGUGAUUAAUAAAGGAUCA